CUGCCUCCCAUUAGAGGUCCACAGUGAGAAAGUAAUUAAUUUGUCCAAGGUAACACAUCAAGUCAAUCAAUGGUGGAGAUGAGACUCUAAAUAACUCUAGUGACUCCAGAGGUCAGGGAGGCAAAGGAAAGAAAACUCCAUGGAGACAAAUAGGAAAUCCACCAGUGUGAGAGAAGAGGAAGGAGUCUGACAAAGAGGCUUUCCUUAGACAAUGGAGGAGACAAGAGAGGACGGAAUCUUAUUCCUGGCUGUCACUGGUGAAGAUUAGGCUCUAACCAGGACAGAUGAGUAAGGUGAUGAUGGAGGUCAGGCUAAGUCGCUCUCUAGUCUGCAGGCCUGCGUGUGCGCAUUUGUGAGUGUGUGUGCAAGUGUGUGUAUGUGUGUGUAUGUGCACACGCAUGAAUGUAAGUGUGUGUAGCUUGGCUGCUACACAUCACUGGGUCCCCUGCCUCCUUGUAGAGGCCCACAAUGGGAAGUAAUUGGUUUGCCUGCUGAUCUUGCCUUCGUGUUCUCCUGUGUUCUGGACCCUGUCUCCCAGGGAUGUGACAACAGGAAAGCUGAAGGCUACACCAGGCAGACAAAGGCUACAAGAUGUUGCUGUGUGCCAGGCACUGGUGAGCUGGAGCUGCAAAGAUUCUACACUGUAAAGUGAUGGAGAGGAGUUGUGCUGAUUGGUGGUGGUGACCACGGAAAGGAAAGGCUAUGCCUGAGAGGUGACAGGAGAGAGAAGGGAACACCACAGAAAAUUCCAGAGCUUGAACUCAUGUGAGGAGGUUGGAAAGGGUGGGUCUGGAGGGAAGAAGGGCUAUUUCUGUCUGAGCAUACUGGAAGAGAGAGACAGGGGCAGAGACAGACAGAUAGACAGACAUUCUAGUAGAAAUAACUGAAGACAAAGUUAAAUGGGAGAACAGAAGGACGAAUGUCACCAACACCUCCCUGUGACGCGGAGCAAUCCACUUCUGUUCCUGAGAGCCAUGGACCUAGAACAUGACCCUGGUGGCUAGCAGAAAUACCGAUGCAAGUCAAGAUGGUAAAAGGAAACGCCAGAAGCAAUACAAGGAGCAAUUUGCUCUCCAGGGUCCUGGGGCCUGCACAUGGGCAGACUUGAAGGGAAUGUCCACAAGGGUCUGCCAGUGGAAGUUGCGGCUGUCUAUGAAGCUACGUACCUGGCUCAGUUGGUUUGAAAGCUGAAGCAUUCUCCCUGGCAUUCUCUUG
ensembl:lncRNA